UAGAACCAAACAGCGGUAUGACAAGAAACCGAUCAGAAGAGGAGGCAGGUGCCAUCGGCGACUUGAAAAAAAACAAGGACAAGGUGCCAGGAAAGCCCCAUCACAACAAACCCAACUGAGAUUCACACAGAAAAAGAAGUGAAGAUUGCACAAGCCAUCAGAAAGUAUUGGAACAUUAUGAAAAACAGCUUCCCGGGCAUUCCAGAAUUCCAGACACGCCGCUCAUGUCAUACCGAAGACCCCCUAGCCUGCGGAAUAAGCUGAUCACCUGUAAGAGGAGUCGGCAUACUACAACUUGAAGUCUACAAACAGUUUUCUGGUGUUUCUGAUUUGGACUGUAACUUUUUAUUACAUAUAUA